rnacentral:rRNA from 1 species
AAGAUCUCCGGGGGGCGGCGGCACCUUUGGGUUUUCCCCCUUCUCAAGCGGUGGCGCACACGAGAUGGCAUUUCGAUCAGUGCCUACCAGCGUCUUCCUUACCUCAAGGAUGACCUACGCCAACUGUCCAAGGGCCACGCCCUCCUCAAACGACUGUCAGAACUGUUGGGUCUAGGCCAGGGCGAGCGCAUGGAAGACCUCUUCCCGUCACGUUUAGUCCUCAAACCUGCCCCUCUUCUGGUGAGACCCUAACGACUAUAGGACACGCUGCCACACGAUUGACUGCGGGUUCCCCCACGGGUAGUUGCCGCACAACUCAGAGGCUGCUCCAGCCGGGUUAGCUGCCCGUCCCAAUUAGGUCUCCGGGGCCCGACCUGGUUUUCCGAAGCAGAACCUUCACGCGGUGGACUGGCAUACGGUACAGGUAGUUCUUACUCGCGAGAUCUCGACAGCUAUUCCUUUAUACGACUCGUUGGACUGUUCUCGCACCACGCUGGACUCGAUCCCGAAUCAAAGCUAAGCGAUCCUCUCCGCAUACUAAAGAUGUUGAAUAUAAGUACCCUUUAACCUAAACCCUAUUCUAUACCUUUUUCGUCCGACUUGCGGCUCUCUUGUUUUUCGUACGUCCUCUAUCAUACGCCAACGAGCCACUCACAGACAAACGAACAUACAUAUUAUUCUUCGCCGUCACAUGACCAACCACAAGGUUGGACUUCAACUACUUAAACUUAGUCGAACCCCCCGUGACGACCUGUUCAUGUUGAACUCCAGAGUAUCGAUAUACUGUGUUUAUAUACUCUGUUCCUUUUUUACCCGUUUCGGUAUAAAGUCCCCACACAAGACACGCUUCUACUGUUCAUGGGUCGUUUCACUCUCGCGUUUGGUGUACGACUUUAGAAUGUACGGCGGACGCUCGGCUUACGUACAAAAGCAGGCCGUUAUGUGCUCUGAAGUUAAACUGGCCCUUGCGCUGCUUUCGAUACUCCUUUUCUCCUGGUACUAACCUCCGCGGCAGGCCGCCUGAUUGGAACGCUAACUCGCCGUACGGUCGUUUUAUAUAUGGUCCUUAUACAAACUCCUUAAACCGGCCGACGAAAAUCUUCCCUGCCGUAUGUUGCAAUGACUUCAACUCUCCUACUUCUUUAUGUAGUGUUGUGUGUUAUUACGUCGGUUCUCUCUCUUCACCUCGUCUCACCUUAUACUCCACUGGUAGUUGCUACUGUUUAGUUAUAAGUGCACGCUCACACCAGUCAAACUUGUGUGUCCCUACGAAACGACGGUACGGAAUUCCCACUCUACCCAGCUGUAUAACAACACGUUCUUAACUCAAUCCCCCCCUCUUGUAGCCGUUAAUUGUAAAUUGUAAACUACGACAUCCACUACCUCUAAGAUGUAAACCUGCUCUAAGGCUUCGUGGUAUAGGAAUUUGCCACCUGUUCUCUGCGUUCCCUAUAUGAGGGUCUAGUGGACCAAGUCAUGGUCUUCCUGUUUCGUGUAUUAAACAGAAAGUGUACGUCUGUGCGCUCCGAUAUGAAAUUCCGGUACCUCCAUCACGCUUACCCCCUGCGUUCGUACGAUACUCGUGUACGUACGACCGGACCUAAGAGAAGAUGCAAGACCUCGUGGAGACCGCCAGUGUUCCCUGCCAAACCGAAAGCUCCUAGCAGAGUAAGUUUUACCUUUACCGACAGUCCGACGCUUACCGCUCGGACGAAACCAACUAGUACCUCGACUUGGUACGGUGUCACGACGCUUAAGACAUUUACGCUUACGGGACGUCACGGAGCUCCGCGGUCUGUUCGCAUCUCCACGACCGUCCGGCUGCUUGUCAUCCCUCUUCCGGGGCAUGCUUCCCGACUCAUUCUCUUGGUCCAAGACGUCGUAAACGACGGCACUCCCGGUGCUCUCCUCGUGUACGGGUCUCUCUCCCCUACUCGGUUUCUUCGGCGCCUUUGGGCCGUCUACGUUCUUGACGCCGUAUCUUCCCGUAGCCGCCCUAUGUACAUUCUCCGGAGAACCCAAACGGCUCUCGACU